UCCAUAUAAGAAAUGUAUUACCAAAAUCAUGCUCAUUUAUGACACUCCAGUCCUUCAGUGGGCACACCGGGCCUCCCUACUGUAAAUCUAUGAUGCACUCUACUUAUUUUGUUAUAGAACACUCUACAUGACUACAUUCUCCUCCCGACAGCUGCUUGUGAUUUCCCCCUUCUUAGAUUAACUUUUCAGUUUUUUUCUCUCUUUCAACUUAUCACAUGGAAAACAAGGAUAAAUUAUCUGGUAAUGGGCAGCAGCGAGCAAAUUCUAUAGAUUAAUAUCUCUAGCAACAGAAUCUUACAAAACUUGUAAGAAACAGCAUUGUCCAAACAGGAACAAAUGAGCUACUGACAUCCUUGUUACAGUGUAGACCUGCUCCACUGUUUGGAAGAAAUCACAUAUGUUCAUGGUUGAUCAUAGCCAGUUAGUCAUUAAUAGAGAUACACAAUGCUUCAUCCAAUUACAUUAAUUUGGAGCUACUCAUAUCUGACCGGAAACAAUAGCAUUCUGAAAAACACAUUUUGAUUUCAAAGAAAGCAAUUUCUUUCAACCUCAUCUGCUUCUACAGAUCAAUUCCAACAUAAACUUAGCACGUCCGGAUCCUCUGGUGAUUAGUGACAUUUUGUAUGCUUUGAUUCGAAAGUGUUUGCAUCAGAAGAGAUAGCGCCCCCACGAUCUUGGUAGAGAAAGAGAGAGUGGUGUAUGUAGUGGUACUAAUCUUGGUGCCAUCGCUGACCGGAGAUGCCGCCGGUGCGACGGAUCCCGAGGGCGGGGAGCGCGUAGAGCCACGCCACGG
rnacentral:lncRNA from 1 species